rnacentral:lncRNA from 1 species
GUAUUAUUUUUUAAAAUUUUAUUUUAUGUUUAUUUAUUUUAUGCAUGAGUGUUUUGCCUCUGUAUGUGCACCGUGUUUAGUGCCCGUGGAAGUAAGGAGAAGGGGUUGGAUCCCUUAAGGCAGGAAUGGCUCUGAGCUACUAUGUGAGUGUUGGGAACCAAUCUGGGCCUUCUGCUAGAGCAACAAUUGGUCUUAACCUCUGAGCCAUUUCCCGUGCUCCUGUUUUGUAGACUUUUGGAGACAAGGUUUUUUCUGUAGCCCAGGCUGGCCUGGAACUUUACUAUGUAGUCUGGCCUGGGCCUUAGCUGAGCUCAGAGCAAUCCUCUUCAUCCAUAUUCCUUUAUUUUUUUGUUCUUUUGUUUUUGUUUUUUUGAGCCCUGGCUAUUCUAGAACUCCAUUUGUAGACCAGGCUGGCAUUGAAUUCAGAGAUUCACCUGCUGCCUUAGUUAGAUUAAAAAGCAUUCACCACCGAUGUGUGUCCAUGUAUACCCCACUCCAAGACAGGGUUUGUCUCUGUAGCCCUCCCUGGCUGUUCUGGAGCUCUGUAGACCAGGUUGGCCGAGAACUCAGAGAUCCACUUGCUUCUGUCUCCUGAAUGCUAGGAUUAAAGGCAUGAACCACCACUACCUGGCUGUGCUUAAGCUUUUCAAAUGUUAGGAUUAUAAGCAUAUGCUUACUGUACCUAGAUUGGGGUAUGUUCCCAAUAUUUUCCCUUUUCAGGUUGAAAAACAAAUCCAUUCAUAUGUUUAACAGUAUGCGUAUGGUAAAAUCUCAAAUAUACAAAUAAGGUUACAUUUUAUAUUAAAGUAUUUUCUAUUGUUUGCUGACAACUGAAGGAAGCACCUGGAUUUUCUUUUUUCCGCUGAGAUUGGGGUCUUGUGUUGCCCAGGCUGGUCUAAAAGCUCCUGGACUAAAGCCAUCUUCUUGCUUGGGAAUAUCACAGUUCUAUAUCAGCAUUCAGCUUUGGUAUUAUAGCUAGAUAGCUUAGCUUUAGUUAGAGAUUUGGUUCUUCCUAACUUUGCUUUCAAAUUUGGUGAUUGAGUUUUGACUGUAGACCUUUGUAGUUGACAAUUUCAAAAUUUGUGGAUUAUUAUUAUUGAGACAGGGUUUUAUUAUAUAUCCCUGGCUGGCUUUGAAUUCGUGUGACACUACACUCAGUUCAAGGGCUAAAGCUUUGCACAAGGUAGGGAAAUCUCUGCUGCUCAGCUGUAUUCCCAAUCUUAUUAUUUUUUUAAUGUUAAGAAUAGGUAGUUAAGGGCUGGAGAGAUGGCUCAGUGGGUAAGAGCACUGACUGCUCUUCCAAAGGUCCUGAGUUCAAAUCCCAGUAACCACAGGGUGACUCACAACCACCUGAAAUGAGGUCUGACACAUCUGCAGUCAGCUACUUAUGUAUAGUAAUAAAUAAAUUUAAAAAAAGAAUAGGUAAUUAAAUGCAAGAAAAUCAGAGAUGAGAAGUAGAUGUAGAUGUAACCUUUCUGAAGAAACUCAUGCCUCGUGAGCCUGCCUGCCUCUGCUUCCCAGGUGCUGACAGUAGAGGCACGUGCCAUCAAGCCUGCCAUCAAUCACUUUCUUUCUUUUACAGUGGCAAAAGGUUUUUGUUUUUUUGAAACAGUGUUAACCUAUGCAGCCCAGAUUUUUCUGUUUUACUUUUUUUUUUUUGGUCAGGGUUUCUCAGUGUAGUCCUAGAACUCACUAUGUAGACCAGAUCUUUUCUAACCUGAACCAGAUCUGCCUCUGCCUCUAAAGUGCUAGGAUUAAAGGUGUGCACCACCACAGCCAGACUUCUGUUUUCAUUAAACAACUUAAAAAGUGUUGAAAAUACUGACACAUGUCACCACACUCUGUAAGAAAUACAGCUUUAAAAAGUCUUUUGUUUUGAAACCAUUUUAGAUUUAUAGAAGAGUUGAGCAGAACCACGUGGCCAGGAGAAAACUGCCAAGUAGCAAAGGGUCUCAUAGCUGGGGAGUAAGUUAAUAUUGUGCUAGAUCUGUCCAAUCUAGGCACAUAGCUUAUACAUAUAAUAGCUGGCUUAUAAUAUGGGCUUAUUGGGGUUGGAAAUUACUGUAACACCAUCCCAAACAAAACAGAGAACCAAAAGACAAUGGACCCUGUCUCAAACAUGGUAGAAAGCGUACCUGAAGUUGUUCUUUUAGAAGGCAUACCUGAAGUUGUUCUCUAACAUACUCAUAUCUUUGCAUUCAUGUGCUCACAUUCAUUCACACACCCAAAUGUGUACAUGGACACACACACAUACCCCAGAGAGAAAAGAUAGAACUCUAUGCACUCUUAACUUCUCAUCUAUCUCCACCCGCCCUCUUUCCCUCCUUCCCUCCUUCCUGACAUAGGUAGGGUCUUAUGAACCUAGGUUAAUCUGGAAAUCCCUGUAUGGCUCAGGUGGCUCAUCACUCCCAGUUUCUUUGUCACUCUAAGAUGUUGCUUUUAAUUGUAGAUGUUUUGGGCUGAGCAGUUUUUGCAGGUAUUUCUCAAGAUAAUAACUUCACAGUUGCUGGCUCCAAUCCUUUUAUCUUUUUAAGACCUUUUAUUUUGUGUGUGUAUAUGUGUGCUCAGGUGUCAUAAGUUUCAUGUCCAAGUCAGGACAACUUAGGAAUGUUGGUUCUUUUCUUUCUAGCAUAUAGGUCUCUGGGAUUGAAGUAAGAUCAGUAGGCCCCAAAAGGCCUUUACUUGUUGAACAUCUCACCAGCUCUAAAUCCGUCAUUUUGUAAAGUUUUUUUUUUCUGAUAAUCUUUCCCUUCCCCUUCCCCUUCUUUCCUUCUCUCUCUCUCUCUCUCUCUCUCUCUCUCUCUCUCUCUCUCUCUUUGUUUUUUGAGUGUCUCUGUGUAGCCCUGGCUGUCCUGAAACUUAUCCUAUAGAGCAGGCUAGCCUCCUGCAUCUUUCUCCUAAGUGCUGGUAUUAAAGGUGUGCUGUGCACCACUAUGCUUGUCCCUGAACUUAGUGGCUCUGAUUUUUUUUUUUUCUAUCUGCAGUUAUUUUUAUUUUGUGUAGCUCCAGUAUUCACUUGAUAGCUAUUCACUAUUAUGACACUUAUUUUAUCCUACUCAAAAGUUUUUUUGUUGGGGGGGAGGGUAUGGGGGACUUUUGGGAUAGCAUUGGAAAUGUAAUUGAGAAAAAUACGUAAUAAAAAAUAU